UGUUGGUAAUGCAGACAAUCCUUAAGAAAAGACUUAAAACUCUCUCAUGCAUGAUAGAAAUUCUUAUCUAGCUUCUGUUUGAAACUCAAGAUCUCACUCCUCAACCU